rnacentral:rRNA from 1 species
UACGUAGGGUGCAAGCGUUAAUCGGAAUUACUGGGCGUAAAGCGUGCGCAGGCGGUUUUGUAAGUCUGUCGUGAAAUCCCCGGGCUCAACCUGGGAAUUGCGAUGGAGACUGCAAGGCUGGAGUCUGGCAGAGGGGGGGUAGAAUUCCACGUGUAGCAGUGAAAUGCGUAGAGAUGUGGAGGAACACCGAUGGCGAAGGCAGCCCCCUGGGUCAAGACUGACGCUCAUGCACGAAAGCGUGGGGAGCAAACAGG